rnacentral:rRNA from 1 species
AACACAUGCAAGUCAGACGGCAGCGCGGGGGUAACCCUGGCGGCGAGUGGCGAACGGGUGAGUAAUACAUCGGAACGUGUCCUGGAGUGGGGGAUAGCCCGGCGAAAGCCGGAUUAAUACCGCAUACGCUCUGAGGAGGAAAGCGGGGGAUCUUCGGACCUCGCGCUCAAGGGGCGGCCGAUGGCGGAUUAGGUAGUUGGUGGGGUAAAGGCCUACCAAGCCGACGAUCCGUAGCUGGUCUGAGAGGACGACCAGCCACACUGGGACUGAGACACGGCCAGACUCCUACGGGAGGCAGCAGUGGGGAAUUUUGGACAAUGGGCGAAAGCCUGAUCCAGCAAUGCCGCGUGUGUGAAGAAGGCCUUCGGGUUGUAAAGCACUUUUGUCCGGAAAGAAAGCACUCCCGUUAAUACCGGGGGUGGAUGACGGUACCGGAAGAAUAAGCACCGGCUAACUACGUGCCAGCAGCCGCGGUAAUACGUAGGGUGCGAGCGUUAAUCGGAAUUACUGGGCGUAAAGCGUGCGCAGGCGGUGAUGCAAGACCGAUGUGAAAGCCCCGGGCUCAACCUGGGAACUGCAUUGGUGACUGCAUCGCUGGAGUAUGGCAGAGGGGGGUGGAAUUCCGCGUGUAGCAGUGAAAUGCGUAGAGAUGUGGAGGAACACCGAUGGCGAAGGCAGCCCCCUGGGCCAAUACUGACGCUCAUGCACGAAAGCGUGGGGAGCAAACAGGAUUAGAUACCCUGGUAGUCCACGCCCUAAACGAUGUCAACUGGUUGUCGGGCCUUCAUUGGCUUGGUAACGUAGCUAACGCGUGAAGUUGACCGCCUGGGGAGUACGGUCGCAAGAUUAAAACUCAAAGGAAUUGACGGGGACCCGCACAAGCGGUGGAUGAUGUGGAUUAAUUCGAUGCAACGCGAAAAACCUUACCUACCCUUGACAUGGACGGAACCCUGGUGAGAGCUGGGGGUGCCCGAAAGGGAGCCGUCACACAGGUGCUGCAUGGCUGUCGUCAGCUCGUGUCGUGAGAUGUUGGGUUAAGUCCCGCAACGAGCGCAACCCUUGCCCCCAGUUGCUGCGCAAGAGCACUCCGGGGGGACUGCCGGUGACAAACCGGAGGAAGGUGGGGAUGACGUCAAGUCCUCAUGGCCCUUAUGGGUAGGGCUUCACACGUCAUACAAUGGCCGGGACAGAGGGUUGCGAAGCCGCGAGGUGAAGCCAAUCC